GCCUGAGUGGCGGAAUCGGUAGACGCAGCGGACUCAAAAUCCGCCGAGGCAACCCCUCGUGAGAGUUCGAGUCUCUCCUUAGGCACCA
rnacentral:tRNA from 2 species